UAGGGAAUCUUCCACAAUGGACGAAAGUCUGAUGGAGCAACGCCGCGUGAGUGAUGAAGGGUUUCGGCUCGUAAAACUCUGUUGUUGGAGAAGAACAGGUGUCAGAGUAACUGUUGACAUCUUGACGGUAUCCAACCAGAAAGCCACGGCUAACUACGUGCCAGCAGCCGCGGUAAUACGUAGGUG
rnacentral:rRNA from 1 species